AGGACUAACGCUGGCGGCGUGCUUAACACAUGCAAGUCGAACGAGGUCUGUAGCAAUACAGAUACUCGUGGCGAACGGGUGCGUAACACGUGGAUAACCUUCCUUCAGGUGGGGAAUAACCCAGUGAAAAUUGGGCUAAUACCGCAUAACAUGACGAUGCCACAUGGUGUUGUCUUCAAAGGCGCAAGUCGCCAGAAGAGGGAUCCGCGGCCGAUUAGCUAGUUGGCGAGGUAAUGGCUCACCAAGGCAAUGAUCGGUAGCCGGACUGAGAGGUUGGCCGGCCACACUGGAACUGAGACACGGUCCAGACUCCUACGGGAGGCAGCAGUGGGGAAUCUUGCACAAUGGACGAAAGUCUGAUGCAGCAACGCCGCGUGGGGGAUGAAGCUUUCGGAGUGUAAACCCUUUCGACCCGGAAGAAAGCCCGCAAGGGUUUGACGGUACGGGUAUAAGAAGCCCGGCUAACUACGCGCCAGCAGCCGCGGU
rnacentral:rRNA from 1 species